rnacentral:piRNA from 1 species
UCUUGUCGACUCUCUAUAUUAAAGUGCUUUGUCCUGAGAAUCCUCGGGAGUGGAUGGGAUUUUGUAUGUUUGGGCAGUCGUUAUCAAUGGCGGUGGAUGAAAAAAUCGGCACACUAUAUCGAUUAAUGAAUCACAAAACACCUCGGAAUAUUAAUCAUUGGCGGCUCGGGAGAGGAGAUGGAAGGAUUUUCGCGAUUAAAUUGGAUUGAGAUGACUCACAUCUUGGACCUCGAGGCACUACUUUUAGAAGAUGCACACACACGUCUUGACACACACGUUACCGACCGAACUCUGGCUGCCCCGCCCCCUGGCUUGGGUCAUGUGGGACCCUGCUUGACCUUUGAUUGGUCCCUGUCUCUGUCGGCCAUGAUGGUAAAUUUGGUCGGGAAGAAGCUUUGCCUAACAUCCCAAUCUCUCAGGACAUUCAACUCUGGAAUAUGAGGGCCUCUUUGUUCUAAGUGACCUAGAUACACGACUUGGAUCUGUCGUUCUUUUCUCUUCUACUUCUUCCAUCUCCAAAGUCCUUUGACUGCCAUCUUUAUUUGAAUCCAUACAGAAUACAUUAUAUCCAACAUGGUACAUAAUUAUUUAUUAGACAAUAUUCUUUAUAAUAUUACAUUUACACACAUUUUACUGAUAAUAAUAAAAAAUGGCAUUUGUUUUAAAAUGUGUUAUUCUCUCCUAAUACCUCUUUCAUGUUAUAAUAUCAAUUGCCAUCUAUCGAUAAAAUAUAUGUGACUAUUAUUUUUGACAAUAGGUUUCUUAUCAUUAUAUUAUCAAAUAUUAUUUACAAACCUUACUGCAAUGAUAAAAAUAAUUAGAUGAGAGGUCUUGGAUCAGUAGUGGUCUGUAGAUUAAUUUGGCGAAACCACUAAGAAAAUUCACCACUGAUGAGGCAAGCCCUCUCUUAUAAUAAUUUCUAUCAUGGCAGUAAGGCCUUAAAGUCUCUCUCUCUCUCUCUCUCUCUCUGUAUAUUUUAAAAGGGAUCUGUAUUAAAUUCUGAAAAAAAGAAAAAUAAUUUUUUGGGAAAGAAAAAAAAAUAAAAUUUUUUUAAAAUAGUGAGUGGUUAGAUACUAUUGGGGAGAAAGUAAAUGAUGGAAAUAAGUAAAAAAAAGAAAUUUGAGUAGAUAGGGGUGCUUGCUAAACUAGGAAAAAAUAUGAUAAUUUUUUGGAGAAAAAAAAAAAAUCUUGCCUGCAUAGGUGUUCAAUCUUGCUGUGUGGAAACCCACAGCAAGGGAAACUCUAUGAGGUGCAAUCCAAACAAAACAUAUAAGACAUUAACAGAAAUAAAAAGAAAACUAUAGACAAUAAAUUUUGGUGAUGGAGGGAAAAAAAAAGAAAAAGAAAUCUGAUUAGCCUUUGGGGCGGUGAAAAAAUAUAAACAAAACAUAAAAAAAGAAAUCAAAGCUCCUGUAUGAUAACUGAAGGCUGAUACAUGAGAAGUAUUGCGUCAGGUCAGUUGUUCAUUCAGUUAGGACAAAACAAGGUUUAAACAAUAAAAGGAAAAAAUAAACUUGAGGUGAUUAAGAAAUUGAAAGGGUGAUAGACAUGGAUGGUGGGAAUAAAAAAAAUAAAAAUAAAAAAAAAUAAAAGUGCUGGUUGUGUACAAGUCCUUUAAAAUUGGUUAACAAAAAUAUACACAAAAGAAGAAUAUUUUUUUACAUAACAAUGUCCAAUCUUUGUUUAUUAUAGGGUCGUAGGUCAUAAGGUUGCCAAAACUAUAUAGGUGCGUGAAUGUAUGCGAGUGUGUGUGAGUGUAUGUUCCAGAAAGUAACUUUAAGUGUGGUGACACGCGAAAAGUGACGGCGGGUUUGUUUACAUUCCGCAGGGAGGGUGUGACGUCGGUCACGUGAUCGGAAAGGACGUGACGUCGGCGCGGCGGAAGGUUUCUGUAAAGUGGACGCCAGCUGACAGCGGGGUGAUCGACGAGUGUUUGUAAAGGUGGGGAGAUUGCUAUUCGACUUGGCGCGCUCUAAAGAGGGUUUGGAAAAUCUCUCCUAUGAUUUCACCUAUUAGAGCGACCAAGGCAUGACUGUGGACAAGGAUGGUCCAUAACUCCGGGAGAAUUAUUCCUAUGGUUCGAUGGAUUAGUUCCACUACGGCGAUGGUUAUUUCGAAUAGGGCUUCCUGUAGUUGGAAGAGACGGUUGGGCUGCAGUGUAUAGACACUGACAUACAGUAGGGUGGCCAUGGGUAAUAGUACAGUGGGUAGGAUGAAAAGGUUGAUGAGGUAUAGGAGGUGGAACAAGGGGAAGGUUUUCACGUUACGAAAAAACCUUGCCUGUAAGGGAAUUGGUUUGAAUUCAGCCCUAACUGUAGGGAUUUGGGUUUUAACUUUGGUUAUAUGGGUUGGACGGGAUAUUGCAGGUUGGGGAAUAUCGCGUUGGGCGAUAAUGUUACAUUGUGGGUCAACAGGGGUGGUAGUGGUACAAUUGCCUAUUGUAGGAGCAAAGCGCUCAACUGUAAAGAGGUCUGGGGUGAGGUGCUCGAACAGUGGUGGUAGCGUCCUAGAUUGGGGUUUAGCAGGGUGUGGUAUCAGAGUGGGAGGUGCGAUAUAACGAAUAUUUUCGUUAUAGUACUGUAAUUUAUUUACAUGGACUGUGUCGGUAUUCCGAUUUAGAGGUUGGUUGGGUCGGUUUAUUCUCACCACGUUGGGAGAGAUGAUCUCUAAGAUCUCGUAGGGACCCGUGAAAUACGGAGUCAGUUUGCCUGUAUUGGGGUGAUGGUAAACUUUUACCAACACGAGAUCUCCGGGUUCAAAAUGGGGUGUCUUAUGUUGUUGGUCGUAGGCAUGUUUGUCCUUGAGGUGCUUGGCCUGGGUACGUUCAUGGGCUAUCCGUCGGGCUGUGGUUAAAACGGGGUAGGGGUUUAUAUGCUCAGUGAGCUCGGGAGGUAGAACGCCGAACAUCAGGUAGCCAGGUGGGAACCCGGUAACUGAGUGGGGCGUGUUGUUAUACACCACAGUAACGCGCUUCGCCAGCUUAGUCCAUGCGGCUUUGGGGUUUUCCAAAUGGAGUAACCUUAGUUUGCCUGUUAAGGUAGCGUUCAGGCGCUCGCAUAGACCAUUAGCUUGGGGGUUGUUACUGGUGGUGAGCAGGGGAUGGAUGUUCCUGUUAAUCAGGAACUUCCUGAACUUUGGUGAGGUGAACGCAGGCGCUCUAUCCGUGAGUAGGCGUUUCGGAGAGCCGUCCUGCAACACUCGCUUUAUCACCUGUUGAUAGGUGGUGAUGCUGGUAGAUUUUGAGGGGAAGGUCCACGUGUAGCGCGAAAAGUGAUCCACCACAACGUGGAGGUAAGCUUUGGCGUUACCAUAUUUGGCAAGUCCAGCUAUGGUGUCGAGGGCGACCAGAUCAAAAGGCUGAGUGGCCACAGGAAGUUGUCCUAGUUCCCCAAACGUGGGACCUCGAGGGUGUUUUGUUGACUGACAGAUGGCGCAGGCUUUGGUGGUUUUGGAGAUGUCUUCUGACAUCCCCUUCCAGUAGUACUGGGUAGAGAUGAGCCUGGUCAUCUGGGAUAUGCCCGGGUGGUUGUACCGACUGUGCACCUUUGUUAGUAGGUCGGGAACGAGGGCGUCAGGGACGACAAUUUUGGUUACACCUCUACGCUUUAGGGUUUGCAGUCCGUUUCGAUCAAUGGUCAGUUUAGAUUCUCCCGAAGGAGUGAGUUGGUGGUUCUUAAUGAGGGUGGUGUCUAAGAAUCCACAAAACGGGUUACGGGAUAGGAGGUCCGCUUCAUGUUGUAGUGAUCCUUUUAUGUAGCGGACUUCGUAUUCGUAACACGAUAACCUCAAACUCCAUCGGAAUAAUCUGCCUGGCGGGUUUUUGAUCGUCUUCAGCCACUGCAGUGCGUGAUGGUCAGAAAAUAUGGUGAAUUUUCUGCCCAUUAGAUACACACGGAACUUCUCCACGCUCUCGACAAUGGCGAGGCAUUCUAGUUCGGAGAUGGUGUAGUUCCGCUCGUGUACACGCAGAGCGCGGCUGAAAUAUUGGACUGGGUAGGCCUUCCCAGCGGAGUGGACUUGUUUGAGGACGCCUGCAAUGCCAAGUGUUGAUGCAUCGCAAUAUACCUGGCAUGGUAGUUCAUCCUUGUAGAGGUGCAAUACGGGGUGUUGUGUGAGGCUUUCCUUCAGGCUGGUGAACGCCUUUUGGCAUUUGUCAUCCCAGUCCCACGUCACAUCCUUCUUGAGAAGGUUGUUGAGUGGGGUCCGCAAACGGGCAUAGUCCGGGAUGAACUUAUUAUAGACGUUCACGGCGCCUAAGAAGGAUUGCAGCGUUUUGCGAUUGUUCGGGGGUGGGAUAGCGUGGAUUACGUCGGUAUUGCGGAUAAGUGGGGUGGUGGUACCAGCGGUGAUUGUGUACCCCAGAAAUUCGAUGGUCUGCCUAAAAAACUCGCAUUUGGUGAGGUUGAGUUGCAAGUUCUCCGCGUCGCAGAACGCGAAAAACCUGCGCAGGUGUUCUUGGUGUUCCUCCAGUGUCUCCGAAUAUAUGACAAAGUCGUCAAAAUAGUGCGCCACACAAUCAAGUCCGUGCCCCUGCAGGACCUGAUUGAUUGCCCUUUCAUAGAUCUGUGGACUGGUCUUAAGUCCGAAAGGCAAUCGGGUGGGCUGAUACAACCCGUCUAUCGUGGCGAAGGCCAACAGUGGUCGAGAAUCAGGGUGUAUCGGCACUUGCCAAUAUGCGGAGGAGACGUCGGCAGUCGAGAAAUACUUGGCCCGCGCGAGACGGUCCAGUAUAUCUUCGAUCCUCGGGAGUGGAUGGACAUCGGAGCUUAUGACCUCGUUCACCUUCCUAUAGUCGAUACAAAACCUUUUGGUCUUGUCUCGCUUGGUCACUAGGGUGACCGGGCUAGAGAAAGGGGAGUAGGACGGCUCAAUGAUGUCAUUAUCCAACAUCUGUCGGAUCUGACUGCGUAUUUCCCGUUGGUCGCAUAUCGGUACCCUAUAUGGGCGGAUGGUGACGACUUUGUCGGAGUUGGUGGCGAUUCUUACUGGGGGAACCUUUAGGCAUGGGACCGCGAAUUUGUUCCGGGAGAACACGUGUUGGUAUUGGCGCAAUAGCGCCGGGAAUUGAGGUGGAUACGGUGGCUGCGGUUGAUUGUCUAUGGGGAUCCCUGGGAGGUGUUCUGGUGAUGUUGGGUGGUGUGUGUGGUACAUGGAAUGGUGUGUGGAAUGGGGAUGUUUGGGUGUAUGGUGAAGGUGGUCCGUUUGGACCUUGGUGGGGUGUGAGAGGUUGGCAUUGGGUGGUUGUUCUGGUACCUUGACCCUAUAAUAAGAGCAGUUGGCUCUAAAAAAGUUCUUUGAUUGGACAUGGUGCGGUGGUUGGGUGAGUCCCUGGGUUGUGGACGUGUUGUCCGAAAAAUGCGCAUAUUGGGUAUUGUUGGCGGAAGGCGGAAAAAUAGUGUGGGCCUUGCAUAGGUCCGCCUGGCAUUCCCAAUAUGUGCACCUUUCGGGCAACACAGCAAAGUGGUAGGUCAGGGGCGACAAAGGUGCAUCGAGUUGGUACAUAGUGCCAUGUGCAAAAUCGAUUUUUAAUUUGAAUUUACGGAGGGUAUUAAUACCAAGUAUUCCAAAUGGUAGAGGGGCGUCCACCACGUGGAAUACUUCGUUUUGGGUUAUGGCAUGAAUGGAUAGGGGGAAGGUAAUCUGGCCUAUUGUUGGCACGUGGCCAUCUAUUGUCUGUAAAUUUAUUAUUUUUUUAGUUAUUAAAUUUAGGUCAGGGAAAUUAUUCUUUAAAUUUUUAUAUAUGGCACAUGACACUAGGUUAACGGACGCACCCGUGUCUAUCAGGAAUGGUAGGGACAGUCCAUGGGAGAUUGGCAGACUAAUUGUCAGGUUGACGAAAGGCCUGGUCAGUAGGCCUACCUGCUGGCUGCUGGUCUGGGGCUCCCUUGGUUAUCCCAGUGGCUUGUGCGCGUGACGCUUGGUGAUGGGGCUGGGCUCGCGGCCGUUGUUCCGCUAGUUGCGCGGAGCGCGCUGCUCGUGCGUCUCCGGAGGCACGGGGCAACUGCGGGGCUUGUCUGAGACGACACUCAGAGUGCCAGUGUAGUCCACCACAAAAACGGCAGUCUGUUGGCGGGGUCGACCUGGUUGGCACUGUUCUUGGACUAGGUCGCACCGGUGCGUAGGGGCCCAGUAGGGGUGGUGCGUGCUCGUCUGGGUGCCUUGGAGAUGGUGCGCCGCUGCCGCGGAUCCGCUGCACCAGCCGGAACCAUGCACCUAGGUUCUCUGGCGGCACAAUGCGGACGAGGCGCUGGUCGGAGGGUGGCAGCCCCUCGGUGAGCGUCUCCAAGAUGACCUCUUGUGGGAGGCCCAGUUGUAGACCCAGCGCGGUCUUAUUCCGAUAGUAUUCUUCCAGGUUGGGCUGUCCGGCCAGCUUCAUGGAGAAGUAUUGGGCAUACGUGGCCUCAUUGGUCUCCGGAUAGAGAUCCAGGAAGGUCUGUCUCACCUGGAUGUAAUGUUGGGUCUCCAUCCGAAGCCUCCUGAAGUGUUCUAGCGGUUUGUUGUUCAGGUAACGGGGUAGGCGGAGCACUUUUUCCGUGUUGGUGAGACCAUCCCAGUCUGUUUUCUGGUCAUAUGUUCGAAAGAACUGGGCGGCUGGGUAGGUCCCGUCGAAGCUCUGGACUUCUAUCUCCGUCCGAUGGGUCACGCGGUCGCUGGUGGUCUGAAGGGCAGAUAAACACGCCGCGAGGCGUGCCAAGACGGCCGGCAACUCUGCCGACGGAGGGGGUGGUUCUAUUUUGGGAGUACUUACGGCGGGGUUGUUUUCUCCCUCUGCGGUGUAUUCCUCCGCGUCUUGCGUUUCGUUUUUCUCGUCCAUCCUGUCGACUCUCUGUGGUAUAAGGGAAAAGGAUCCUGAGAAUCUUGUCGACUCUCUAUAUUAAAGUGCUUUGUCCUGAGAAUCCUCGGGAGUGGAUGGGAUUUUGUAUGUUUGGGCAGUCGUUAUCAAUGGCGGUGGAUGAAAAAAUCGGCACACUAUAUCGAUUAAUGAAUCACAAAACACCUCGGAAUAUUAAUCAUUGGUGGCUCGGGAGAGGAGAUGGAAGGAUUUUCGCGAUUAAAUUGGAUUGAGAUGACUCACAUCUUGGACCUCGAGGCACUACUUUUAGAAGAUGCACACACACGUCUUGACACACACGUUACCGACCGAACUCUGGCUGCCCCGCCCCCUGGCUUGGGUCAUGUGGGACCCUGCUUGACCUUUGAUUGGUCCCUGUCUCUGUCGGCCAUGAUGGUAAAUUUGGUCGGGAAGAAGCUUUGCCUAACAUCCCAAUCUCUCAGGACAUUCAACUCUGGAAUAUGAGGGCCUCUUUGUUCUAAGUGACCUAGAUACACGACUUGGAUCUGUCGUUCUUUUCUCUUCUACUUCUUCCAUCUCCAAAGUCCUUUGACUGCCAUCUUUAUUUGAAUCCAUACAGAAUACAUUAUAUCCAACAUGGUACAUAAUUAUUUAUUAGACAAUAUUCUUUAUAAUAUUACAUUUACACACAUUUUACUGAUAAUAAUAAAAAAUGGCAUUUGUUUUAAAAUGUGUUAUUCUCUCCUAAUACCUCUUUCAUGUUAUAAUAUCAAUUGCCAUCUAUCGAUAAAAUAUAUGUGACUAUUAUUUUUGACAAUAGGUUUCUUAUCAUUAUAUUAUCAAAUAUUAUUUACAAACCUUACUGCAAUGAUAAAAAUAAUUAGAUGAGAGGUCUUGGAUCAGUAGUGGUCUGUAGAUUAAUUUGGCGAAACCACUAAGAAAAUUCACCACUGAUGAGGCAAGCCCUCUCUUAUAAUAAUUUCUAUCAUGGCAGUAAGGCCUUAAAGUCUCUCUCUCUCUCUCUCUCUCUCUGUAUAAAAAUAUUUGAUAAUUAUUAUCAUAAGAAACCUAUUGCCCCCCUCCCCUCGAUAAAAAUAAUAUAAAUGGAUUCUAUAAUAUCUCUUUCACACACUCAUAUCCUCGAAUUGUGUGUCGGAGUGUUACACUUUAUCUUGAAAUUGGCGUUUUUGGUGAGAAACUUGAAUAUCGCGUUCAGGUGUGUAAACAACAUGUGACUCUACACUGUGAAAUCCCUGGCAGGCGGUGUUGAGAUGUGAGGAUUAUACGACUGGGAAAACAUGUGUUGUGUGUGCGCUGCUAUUCUCUUUUUAAAUUACUUCUUUAACAUCUCGAUUGACACACGUUAACAUAAAUCACACUUCCAUUACUGUAAAAUCACAUCUAGAAGUCUUCAAAUUUGAGUUAAACGAUUUUUUUUACCCAUAUAUAUAUAUAUUUAAUUAAAAAGGCAUAUAUUGGAUCAACUAUCAAUUAUUUUACCAAUAUUUCAGUUGGCUGAACGCCAACCUUUAUCAAGGUGUUAUAACAUUUUUAAAGUUUGUCAACAACAAACUCAGCGCCCACAUAACGUCAACAGCAUUAAGAUUUAAAAAUAUUUUGUUAUAUUCAAUGGGGAGAAAAAAAAUUGAUAUAUAUAUUUAUAUUAUAGACAAAAUAAAUUUUGUAAAAUAUAGGUGUGAAAAAAAUAUAUAUAAAUGGUUUACUUUUCUUUAUUUGUCAAUAAAUUGGGUUGGCCAAAUAUCAAGGAACAACCGAUCUCCAUCUUUGGACACUUUUAUUUUUCCGUUUAUCAUUACUCUUCACAAUUCAUACUUCAUCUCUAAGGUUAGAAAUAAUCGUCAUUUCUCCUUAAAAAUAAAUUUCGAUUUUUCGUUUGAAAUAAACAAAUGCGGGAUAAUUUUCAAAUGUCGUUUUACAAUCAUAUGCCGCAUUAUAUUGUAUUAUGAACAACGUUUAGUUUAUUUUUGUUCCAUUAGAUGGCGCUCUUCCAUUGGUUUUAUUCUUCUACAUAGUAACCUUAUACCCAUAUCAGAAUCUAUAGUGAUAUAAGCGCACUCUAUGUGGUAAAAGGAUUUUAGGUUCCAGAAACCUAAGUUAAACAAAGGGCUGAUGAUGAUAUCCUAUAUUUGGUAGCAGAAUGAAAGGUAAUUUUAAAAAUGUCUAAUUAUCAUCAUUUGUUAUGUUCUUCCAUCUAAAAUGCAUAUGUGAGCCGUCAGGAUAUGCCUUUUUUGUUUUGAAAAUAGAGCAAUCCAUAUUUAAUCCAUUAGAUAACACUGGUCAACAAGAUUUUUGCACAAGAGAACCUGAUUAUGUUUCUAGUGUAACUUUUCAUGCUGAACUCAAAAAUCUAAUCAGAAAUUUCCCAUCACCUAUGGUUUUUGCGUGACGGUCUUUUUUUAGUAUUGGGAUAAAUACACUAAAAAUUGCAAACAUUGUCACGUAACUGGUUUAUCAAAAAAUAUUUUUCUUUGUCCACAAAGAAAUAGCAUCAUAUCUACAUGUCCUGAAUCCAAAUAUACCAUUAGUUUU